rnacentral:rRNA from 1 species
CGAACGGGUGAGUAAUACAUCGGAACGUGUCCUGUAGUGGGGGAUAGCCCGGCGAAAGCCGGAUUAAUACCGCAUACGCUCUACGGAGGAAAGGGGGGGAUCUUAGGACCUCUCGCUACAGGGGCGGCCGAUGGCAGAUUAGCUAGUUGGUGGGGUAAAGGCCUACCAAGGCGACGAUCUGUAGCUGGUCUGAGAGGACGACCAGCCACACUGGGACUGAGACACGGCCCAGACUCCUACGGGAGGCAGCAGUGGGGAAUUUUGGACAAUGGGGGCAACCCUGAUCCAGCAAUGCCGCGUGUGUGAAGAAGGCCUUCGGGUUGUAAAGCAAUUUUGUCCGGAAAGAAAUCAUCCUGGUUAAACCCGGGGUGGAUGACGAGUCCGGAAGAAUAAGCACCGGCAGUA